GGACCAUAGCUCGGUGGAAGAGCAUGCGCUUUGCAUUCAGAAUGCCCUAGGUUCAAUCCCCAGCAUCUCCA